CCUGGUUGAUUCUGCCAGUAGUCGUAUGCUUGUUUCAGGGAUUAAGCCAUGCAAGCCUAAGAGUAACUGAGACAAUAGGAGGUCUGCGAACGGCUCAUUAUAUCAGAAAUAAUCUACCGGGGAAAUUGCAGUGAAAACUGCCUUAAUGGAUAACUUCGCUAACGCGAAGCUAAUACAUGUAUGUCACGCGAUGUUCGUCAUCAAACUGUGGUGGGUCAAACUGCUGCAGGACGGAUGUCUCGCGAAUGGUUGGAAUAAGGACCGUCGCCAGCAAUGGCAGUGUCUUAAAUCGAUGAAUCAAACCAUUCAGCAAAAGCGUGCUUCGGCACGCGUCCCCCGACGAAUUUCUGCCCUAUCAGCUUUGACGGUAGUGUAGUGGACUACCGUGGCGAUCACGGGUACGGGGAAUUAGGGUUCGAUUCCGGAGAGGGAGCCUGAGAAACGGCUACCACUUCUACGGAGGGCAGCAGGCGCGUAAAUUGCACAAUGCCAAACUGGUGAUGCAGCGAAGAGAAAUAGCGACCCCGGCCUUACGGUUGGGGAUUGCAAUGUGUGGUAUGUAAAGCCACCUACGAGUAACAAUUGGAGGACAAGUCUGGUGCCAGCACCCGCGGUAAUUCCAGCUCCAAUAGCGUAUAUUAGUGCUGCUGCUGUUAAAGGGUUCGUAGUUGAAUGCGGAGUUCCAGGGAGUUAGUAUCGCUUCGGCUUUACUUCAUCCCAACUCUGUCAUAGACGGGACCGCGCCUGGCGGAGGUUCGCCUUAACUGGUGAACCGAUGCUGUUGAGUGACGAGCUCAACAUUACGCAUGCGACGCAUGUUAGGGCCGCCCGUUGUUAUCACUGUGAAUAAAACAGCGUGUUCAAGGCAGUCGCUAGCGACUGAAUGACAAAGCAUGGAAUGACAAUGCAUCGACCAGUGGGUCCGCUUUUUGUCGGUUUUUGCAAUCCAUUUGGAUAAUUUGUGAUCGGUUAUUUCCUUCCAUCCGGUUGGAAUUCCGAGAACACGGGAUUAAUGGGGGUUGUCGGGGGAAAACGUAUCUGAGCGUGAGAGGUGAAAUUCUUAGACCGCUCGGGGACGAACUUAUGCGAAGGCAUUUUCCAAGUAUACCUUCAUCAAUCAAGAACUAAAGUGUGGAGAUCGAAGAUGAUUAGAUACCAUUGUAGUCCACUACUGCAAACGAUGACGCCCAUGGAUCGGAUAGUUUUUUGCUCUGAUGGGAUCUUUUCGGCACUGCUCCCCCUUCAACGCGAAAGCUGAGGCUAUGGUCUCAUGGGGGAGUACGUUCGCAAGGCUGAAACUUAAAGAAAUUGACGGAAUGGCACCACCAGGCGUGGAGUGUGCGGUUUAAUUUGACUCAACACGGGGAACCUUACCAGUACAGGACAACGCAAGGAUUGACAGAUUGACAGUUCUUUCUUAAUUCGUUUGACGGUGGUGCAUGGCCGCUUUUGGUCGGUGAAGUGAUUUGUUUGGUUGAUUCCUUUAACGGACGAGACCCAAUCCGCUUAAUAGGGGCGCCAUCUACCUCACGGUAAACGGACGUGGCGGGAUUCGUCUUCGCUACGCUCCCAGAUAGCGAUACCCCUUCUUCGCGGCAUUCCCUGC
rnacentral:rRNA from 1 species